GGGGAAUUUUGGACAAUGGGCGCAAGCCUGAUCCAGCAAUGCCGCGUGCAGGAUGAAGGCCUUCGGGUUGUAAACUGCUUUUGUACGGAACGAAAAGCCGCUACCUAGUACAGGGGAGAGAUGGCGGUCACGUCAGCAUAAGCACCGGCCAACCAAGGUGCCGCAGCCGCGGUAAUACGUAGGGUGCAAGCGUUAAUCGGAAUUACUGGGCGUAAAGCGUGCGCAGGCGGUUUUGUAAGACAGUGGUGAAAGCCCCGGGCUCAACCUGGGAACUGCCAUUGUGACUGCAAGGCUGGAGUGCGGCAGAGGGGGAUGGAAUUCCGCGUGUAGCAGUGAAAUGCGUAGAUAUGCGGAGGAACACCGAUGGCGAAGGCAAUUCCCUGGGCCUGCACUGACGCUCAUGCACGAAAGCGUGGGGAGCAAACA
rnacentral:rRNA from 1 species